rnacentral:piRNA from 1 species
UGAGCUCCCAGUGUGAACGGAAUCAG